AAUGAACGCUGGCGGCGCGCCUAAUACAUGCAAGUCGAGCGAGAAGACGUAGCAAUACGUUUGUAAAGCGGCGAACGGGUGAGGAAUACAUGGGGUAACCUACCCUCGAGUGGGGAAGUAACUAGCCGAAAGGUUAGCUAAUACCGCGUACGCUCCUUGGACUUCGGUUCAGGGAGGAAAGCGAUACCGUGGGUAUCGCGCUCUUGGAGUGGG
rnacentral:rRNA from 1 species